CCUACGGGGGGCAGCAGUGGGGAAUAUUGGGCAAUGGGCGCAAGCCUGACCCAGCAACGCCGCGUGAAGGAAGAAGGCUUUCGGGUUGUUAACUUCUUUUAUCAGGGACGAAGCAAGUGACGGUACCUGAUGAAUAAGCCACGGCUAACUACGUGCCAGCAGCCGCGGUAAUACGGAGGUGGCAAGCGUUAUCCGGAUUUACUGGGUGUAAAGGGAGUGUAGGCGGGAGUGCAAGUCAGAUGUGAAUACUAUGGGCUCAACCCAUAGCCUGCAGUUGAAACUGUACUUCUUGAGUGCUGGAGAGGCAAGCGGAAUUCGGUGUGUAGCGGUGAAAUGCGUAGAUAUACGGAGGAACACCAGUGGCGAAGGCGGAUUGCUGGACAGUAACUGACGCUGAGGUGCGAAAGCGUGGGGAGCAAACAGGAUUAGAUACCCUUGUAGUC
rnacentral:rRNA from 1 species